rnacentral:rRNA from 1 species
GUGCAAAGGUAGCAUAAUCACUUGUUCCUUAAUUAGGGACUUGUAUGAACGGUUAAAUGAGGGCAAAACUGUCUCCUACAGUUAAUCAAUGAACCUGAUCUUACAGUACAAACGCUGUAAUUUACUUAUAAGACGAGAAGACCCUGUGGAGCUUUAAACUUCUACAUUAAAUUAAAACUAUAUUAUAAUGUAAAAUUUUAAGUUGGGGCGACUGUGGAGUAAAAAAAAACCUCCAUGAAACUCGACUAAUCCUCGUCAUAAAGGCCAACAAGCCUAACAAAAACGUUUGACCCAAUCAUAUUGAAUACCGAACCAAGUUACCCCAGGGAUAACAGCGCCAUCCCCUUAAAGAGUUCACAUCGCCAAGGGGGUUUAC